UCCCCACCACUUGCUUGGAACUUGCUCCUUUUUUCAGCUUUUUGGAUUAAUUAAGACACUUAAAUACAUAUAUUGUCAUGAACUUAACCAAUGAGGUUGAAGGACCAUAGUUAAGCAGGCUAAAUGGCAUAAGCCUUUCAGUGUUGAACUCCCAACUUAAGAGCAAAAUGUGUAUAUGCCGGCCCUAAUUCAUAUGUUAUAUAUGUAAAACCAGUCUCACAGAUGACGAGACUGGUUGCUGGUCUCUGAUAUCAAGAUACAACUUUCACAUUCCAUUUCUGUAUCAUUCUCAUAUUUUCACUUGCAAACAAAGUAAAACUAAAAGAAUGUUUAUACAGGAGAGAUUAAUUGGUCAUUCCCUACAACUGACAUAUUUUGGUUUAUACGUCUAAAAUUUCUAGCAACAAAAUAGCAAUAAUUUUUGUUUGUUCCAGAAAAGAAAACAGAUAAGGAAGGAUGAGGGAAACAAUUAAUACCAAACUCUAUUACCUACUGAAGUUGGAAUUAAUUUCACUCAAAAUAAAUCAUAAAUUUUCUAUCUAGUUGAAGCAAAAGGAGUUUCCAUUGAAGAAAAUGUGUGCCCUUCUAAGCAGCUAUUGCCAAAACUUACAUCACUAGUGCCAUGGUAAUCACCAUUACCACCACACAGAUAGUUUUUACCUAUUCUCUAUGAAAGUAUGAUAUACUCCCUCCGUUCCGUAUUAUUUGAUUAUUGUUAACUUUUUAAAGUCAACUUUAGAGAUUUUUAACGCAAAGUUGACAUAGAUUCUUUUAAUAUUAAUCAAUAUAAUGAUG
rnacentral:lncRNA from 1 species